rnacentral:hammerhead_ribozyme from 1 species
ACGCAACUGACGAGUCCUAAAUAGGACGAAACGCGCGUCCUGGAU